rnacentral:rRNA from 1 species
UCAAGUAAUUAAGUGCAUGUGGUGGAUGCCUUGGCAGUCAGAGGCGAUGAAAGACGUGAUAGCCUGCGAAAAGCUCCGGGGAGGCGGCAAAUAUCCUUUGAUCCGGAGAUGUCUGAAUGGGGGAACCCACCUACUUUAAGGUAGGUAUUGCAACAUGAAUACAUAGUGUUGCAAGGCGAACGAGGGGAAGUGAAACAUCUCAGUACCCUUAGGAAAAGAAAUCAAUUGAGAUUCCCUCAGUAGCGGCGAGCGAACGGGGAUCAGCCCAUUAAGUUAUGUGUGUUUUAGUGGAACGCUCUGGGAAGUGCGAACGUAGAGGGUGAUAUUCCCGUACACGAAAGGGCACACAUAAUGAUGACGAGUAGGGCGAGGCACGUGAAACCUUGUCUGAAUAUGGGGGGACCAUCCUCCAAGGCUAAAUACUCCUGACUGACCGAUAGUGAACCAGUACCGUGAGGGAAAGGCGAAAAGAACCCCUGUGAGGGGAGUGAAAUAGAUCCUGAAACCGCAUGCAUACAAGCAGUGGGAGCACCUUCGUGGUGUGACUGCGUACCUUUUGUAUAAUGGGUCAGCGACUUAUAUUCAGUAGCGAGGUUAACCGUAUAGGGGAGCCGUAGAGAAAUCGAGUCUUAAUAGGGCGUUUAGUUGCUGGGUAUAGACCCGAAACCAGGCGAUCUAUCCAUGAGCAGGUUGAAGGUUGGGUAACACUAACUGGAGGACCGAACCCACUGUCGUUGAAAAGCCAGGGGAUGACUUGUGGAUAGGGGUGAAAGGCUAAUCAAGCCUGGUGAUAGCUGGUUCUCCCCGAAAGCUAUUUAGGUAGCGCCUCGGACGAAUACCAUAGGGGGUAGAGCACUGUUUCGGCUAGGGGGUCAUCCCGACUUACCAAACCGAUGCAAACUCCGAAUACCUAUGAGUACUAUCCGGGAGACAGACUGCGGGUGCUAACGUCCGUAGUCAAGAGGAAAACAAUCCAGACCGCCAGCUAAGGCCCCAAAAUCAUAGUUAAGUGGGAAACGAUGUGGGAAGGCAUAGACAGCUAGGAGGUUGGCUUAGAAGCAGCCACCCUUUAAAGAAAGCGUAAUAGCUCACUAGUCGAGUCGGCCUGCGCGGAAGAUGUAACGGGGCUAAAACUAUGUGCCGAAGCUGCGGAUGUAUACUUUGUAUACGUGGUAGGGGAGCGUUCUGUAAGCCGAUGAAGGUGUGUUGAGAAGCAUGCUGGAGGUAUCAGAAGUGCGAAUGCUGACGUGAGUAACGACAAAACGGGUGAAAAACCCGUUCGCCGAAAGACCAAGGGUUCCAGUCCAACGUUAAUCGGGGCUGGGUGAGUCGACCCCUAAGGCGAGGCCGAAAGGCGUAGUCGAUGGGAAAAUGGUUAAUAUUCCAUUACUUCUGUGUAAUGCGAUGAGAGGACGGAGAAGGCUAAAUCAGCCUGGCGUUGGUUGUCCAGGUGAAAGGAUGUAGGCAUGUAUCUUAGGUAAAUCCGGGGUACUCUAUGCUGAGAUCUGAUAGCAAGCUGUACUUGUACAGCGAAGUGGUUGAUGCCAUGCUUCCAGGAAAAGUCUCUAAGCUUCAGUUACACAGGAAUCGUACCCGAAACCGACACAGGUGGUCAGGUCGAGUAGACCAAGGCGCUUGAGAGAACUCUGCUGAAGGAACUAGGCAAAAUGGUACCGUAACUUCGGGAGAAGGUACGCUGUUGUUGGUGAUGGAACUCGCUUCCUGAGCUGACGACAGCCGCAGAAACCAGGCCGCUGCAACUGUUUAUUAAAAACAUAGCACUCUGCAAACACGAAAGUGGACGUAUAGGGUGUGAUGCCUGCCCGGUGCUGGAAGGUUAAUUGAUGGGGUUAGCGUAAGCGAAGCUCUUGAUCGAAGCCCCAGUAAACGGCGGCCGUAACUAUAACGGUCCUAAGGUAGCGAAAUUCCUUGUCGGGUAAGUUCCGACCUGCACGAAUGGCAUAAUGAUGGCGGCGCUGUCUCCAGCAGAGGCUCAGUGAAAUCGAAAUCGCUGUGAAGAUGCAGUGUACCCGCGGCUAGACGGAAAGACCCCGUGAACCUUUACUGCAGCUUGACACUGAACUUUGACCUUACUUGUGUAGGAUAGGUGGGAGGCUUUGAAGCUGGAACGCUAGUUCCAGUGGAGCCGUCCUUGAAAUACCACCCUGGUAAUGUUGAGGUUCUAACUCUGUCCCGUGAUCCGGGACGAGGACCGUGUCUGGUGGGUAGUUUGACUGGGGCGGUCUCCUCCUAAAGAGUAACGGAGGAGUACGAAGGUGCGCUCAGCGUGGUCGGAAAUCACGCGUAGAGUAUAAAGGCAAAAGCGCGCUUAACUGCGAGACCCACAAGUCGAGCAGGUACGAAAGUAGGUCUUAGUGAUCCGGUGGUUCUGUAUGGAAGGGCCAUCGCUCAACGGAUAAAAGGUACUCUGGGGAUAACAGGCUGAUACCGCCCAAGAGUUCAUAUCGACGGCGGUGUUUGGCACCUCGAUGUCGGCUCAUCUCAUCCUGGGGCUGAAGCAGGUCCCAAGGGUAUGGCUGUUCGCCAUUUAAAGAGGUACGCGAGCUGGGUUUAGAACGUCGUGAGACAGUUCGGUCCCUAUCUACCGUGGGCGCUGGAAAUUUGAGAGGAUCUGCUCCUAGUACGAGAGGACCAGAGUGGACGAACCUCUGGUGUACCGGUUGUGACGCCAGUCGCAUCGCCGGGUAGCUAUGUUCGGAAGGGAUAACCGCUGAAAGCAUCUAAGCGGGAAGCCUACCUCAAGAUAAGAUUUCCCUAGGACUUUAUGUCCUCUAAAGAGCCGUUCGAGACUAGGACGUUGAUAGGUUGGAUGUGGAAGCAUAGUGAUAUGUGAAGCUGACCAAUACUAAUUGCUCGUGAGGCUUGACUAU